rnacentral:rRNA from 1 species
CCUACGGGAGGCAGCAGUCGAGAAUCAUUCACAAUGGGGGAAACCCUGAUGGUGCGACGCCGCGUGGGGGAAUGAAGGUCUUCGGAUUGUAAACCCCUGUCAUGUGGGAGCAAAUUAAAAAGAUAGUACCACAAGAGGAAGAGACGGCUAACUCUGGGCCAGCAGCCGCGGUAAUACAGAGGUCUCAAGCGUUGUUCGGAAUCACUGGGCGUAAAGCGUGCGUAGGCUGUUUCGUAAGUCGUGUGUGAAAGGCGCGGGCUCAACCGGAGGACGGCACAUGAUACUGCGAGACUAGAGUGAAGGAGGGGGGACCGGAACUCUAGGUGUAGCAGUGAAAUGCGUAGAUAUCGAGAGGAACACUCGUGGCGAAGGCGGGUUCCUGGACAUUAACUGACGCUGAGGCACGAAGGCCAGGGGAGCGAAAGGGAUUAGAUACCCUUGUAGUC